UGGGGAAUUUUGGACAAUGGGCGAAAGCCUGAUCCAGCAAUGCCGCGUGUGUGAAGAAGGCCUUCGGGUUGUAAAGCACUUUUGUCCGGAAAGAAAUCCUUGGCUCUAAUACAGUCGGGGGAUGACGGUACCGGAAGAAUAAGCACCGGCUAACUACGUGCCAGCAGCCGCGGUAAUACGUAGGGUGCAAGCGUUAAUCGGAAUUACUGGGCGUAAGCGUGCGCAGGCGGUUUGCUAAGACCGAUGUGAAAUCCCCGGGCUCAACCUGGGAACUGCAUUGGUGACUGGCAGGCUAGAGUAUGGCAGAGGGGGGUAGAAUUCCACGUGUAGCAGUGAAAUGCGUAGAGAUGUGGAGGAAUACCGAUGGCGAAGGCAGCCCCCUGGGCCAAUACUGACGCUCAUGCACGAAAGCGUGGGGAGCAAACAGGAUUAGAUACCCUGGUAGUCCACGCCCUAAACGAUGUCACUAGUUGUUGGGGAUUCAUUUCCUUAGUAACGUAGCUAACGCGUGAAGUUGACCGCCUGGGGAGUACGGUCGCAAGAUUAAAACUCAAAGGAAUUGACGGGGUCAUAGCUGUUUCCU
rnacentral:rRNA from 1 species